UUACGGCCAUAACACAUUAAAACACCGGUUCUCAUGCGAUCAAAGUUAAGCAACGUCGAGCCUGGUCAGUACCUAGAUAAGUGAUCGCUUUAGAAUACCAGGUACUGUAAG